GCCACCGAGGAGCGCUGCAACCCGGGACCAUCGAGGUCCGGGCCAGGCUCGGGGACGGGGCAUACAGUUCGAACGGCGCUCACUCACG
rnacentral:ncRNA from 2 species